rnacentral:sRNA from 1 species
UUACAGACAGCAGACACACUUUGUGGCUUUUCUGCACUCUGUAAUGACGGUGGGAUCCAAAGAUCAAGGCUCUUAUCAGACAAAAGCACUCGGGCUCCUUACUGGCAGCUUCUAAGUACAGAGGAAACUAGGGUGGACUACCCAUGCUUCCAUAGAGAAUUUUCAGCUUUCCGGCUGCACGUUCUGUGGGAAGGACCAUUCUCCCAGUUACUCAAGUCAAACUGAACUUCCAUUUCUUGUUCCGGCCAAUCAAGAGUACCAGUCGCCAGAAAUUAAAAAUAGCAUGUUGCUGCAGGACAAGGUGGUAAAUGACACAGAACUUUGGGAAAGUCUGGCUGGCUCCAGCCAAGCCUCACCCUCUGCCACUCCCUGUCAGGGAGGAAGCGUGAGGCUCCUGGGAGUAUGGCCAGGAAAAGGUUGUGGCCAGGCAAGGGCGCGGAAAGGAUUUUUCCUUUGAGUCAGGGAUGACAGCUGUCCUCGUGAGGGGAGGAGUGGAAAACUGGAUCUACUGAGCAGUGUCUGCUAAGUCCAAAGAGGCCUUCAGAAGCAAUAGAACUGCCAGCUACAGUAGUUCGUGGGACAUCAAAGCCGCGAUUAGCACAGCUUCCUGGCUGUCGCACUCCGCGUAUUUAUGGCGCGUUGCACAUUUAAGUGCUAUUCUCAUAAGACGUUUCAGCUGUCAAAGCGCCAUAUUUGGGCGAUAAAAGUGACUGAAAUUACCAGGGGGUCCUGCGUUCCCAAUCCCAGCAUUGUGCCAAAGCCAACGACAACCAAAAACCACCGAAUUUAUUUCACCAUUUGCGGAACACCUGUGAGCAGCCUGGUGGACAUGCAGUACACAUGGGGUCCAGAGAGAGGGGGCUGCAGCAGGUAAGCCUGUACAUGUGAGUUUAUGCCAGUAUCAAGGAGGGGGUCUCUGAAGAAACAAAAAGCACUAUUUCCGUUCUUCGUUUUAAGGUAGGGGUGUGUGAUCUGAUGGCAAAUUGAGACAGGACACUAACUCCCUCUCUUCUGACACCCAGACAAGAUGGAUGCCCUCCAACCUGACUUCUGGUUUUGUUCCUUCUCCUUCAAAAUGGCGCAUCGUGUCUGUGUCCUGUGGAAAAUAUGGUAGGUUUGGCCAGGGAGAGCAAUGGCCAGGACAUACAAAGAGAAGGAGCCUGUGACCACAAUGUGUUCCCUGAGCUGAAGGACCCUGAGAGACCACAUCUGGUCCCUGUGAGCAUAGGCUUCCCACAGCUCCUUUCAGGAGCUGGGCUUGAGCCUGAAUCUCCUCUCAUACGGCCACUUGCAGCUUCCCAAGAUAGCUGGGGUCAAGAUUUAGUCAGCCUUCUACAAAUAAAGCAUACCCUGACCCAACCAUAGACGCCUCUGGUUUCAAACAGUUGCAUCAGCCGGCACUGAGCGAGAGAGAGAGAGCGUGCGAGAACGCAAGCUCGAACUGGCACUCAGUGAGAAGGGAGCUGCACGGCAGGAAAACCUUUUUCUAAUUUUCCAAACCCAUGUUAACUUAUCUUUGUCAAAAUUGUGAAGCACUAAUGUGCCCAAAUGAAAGGUCAGAGGUAUAGACUUGCGUCCUGUCUUCAUUUCCUGUAGGAACAGUCUAUGUGGAGUCAGGCAGGGAGUGUCCGAAGAGGCUCACAGCUUACCUGGGCCAGUCCCCAUGAAGAAGGCACAGAUGCAUGGGUAUUGGCUAUGGACCAUUCGAUGGUCCAGUAAAAACAGUGGAGCCAGGCUCUGAACCCAGCCUGAACCACGAGGACCCAUGCUUACACACUCCCCUUCCAGUACAAAAAAACCCAUUCCCUAACAAAGGUCCUUUAACAGGUCUAACAGAAAACCCCUCAUUCUUUGGUAAGAAAAAAACAACUAAAUAGGAAAAAAAAAUACUCCCAGGGCAACCAGUUUCUGGCCCCUUUCUCUGUGGUACCCUAAGCAGCAGAGAGCUACAACCUUCCUUUGCAAAAAUCUUAACUUGCUUUUCUUUAAAAAUAUAGACAAAUUCUCAGCAGCAUCUGCGUGCUGGGGACCUAACACCUGUACUCGACAUGAGGGCAGAGACGCUCGCUGCUUAGUUUGGUUCCCCUGGGGUGGUAUGACGUCUUCUGGAUAUUUGAGAACUGUGUGGCUACAACACACACAAAGAGAAACUUUAGUGAUGUUGGUGAACCUUUCUAACACAGAUGUUGAAAAUCAGCAAUCUGAAGGGCUUGGGAUUGGCCCCAAACCUAGCAUCGGACACAGUUGCUUUCAGACUCCUCACUAAAGCAGAUUGCCCGUGUAGUCCACGCUGCUACUGAGCACUCGGGGGAAACUAAGGCAGGCAAUCACUUAAAGCUGAACCCAACCUGCAUUACCGGAUGAGGUCCAGGCCAGUGUGGGCUCAUUGUUGUCUUUAAAAACAAAACAAACAGAAAGACAAGAUUUCCCAACCCAACCUCAAAGGCAAGCUAUCCCCCAAGGUUCCUAGCCAAAAAAAAAAAAAAAAAAAAAAAAAAAAAAAAUUUGCUUAGCAUUCAGAGAUGGGAGGAGGGGACACAUGCUGGGCUUUAGAAUCAGGGUGGAUCCAGUUGCCCACACAAGUGGUAUAGAAUCAGGCUUGUCAGGCAUCUCCUUAGGCAGAUGAUGAACUUAUAAAGCAAGUGGGAAGGUUUGGCAAGAAGAGGGAGAUGAUGUAAUUAUAUUAUAAUCUCAAAAAACUGUAAUAAAACUUUCUGGUUGGGGUCCCCUGGGCCACUAGGGGGAGCCAGGAGAAUGAUAUGGAAGGGUACUUGGGGGGUCACCAGAUCUGAGGAAGAGCUUAGGAAUCACUACCACAGUGACUUCUGAGAAGCUCACAUCCCUCUCUGAGGUGCUCUGGAAUCAUGUCGCUGUGUGCGGUACAGACAGAGGUGCUCACUGAGGAUGCUGGCCCUUCCCGAGUCCGAGACCCACAGCCUCAGUUCUGGGCAGCCAGAGGCACUCAUAGCUAAGCAUGAAGGACACGGAGGCCGCCAGGGCAGGGCUAUUCUCAGACUGUUGGAAUGGAGGUGACAGGUCACAUCAUGGUGGUGUUCAGAGCAAUGAGGGACUUGGCGCUUGAGAACAUAGCCGUAACUAGACUGUCUCUGAAAUUUAGGACUCCUCAGAGAGGUGCAGCAGCAAACCCUGAAUGGGGAGGGGCUGUUGGACACAGUCAUUCGAAUAGAACAUUUCACGUCUCCAGGGCAUCAAGCAGCACAGCCUGGAGUUACCACAUCCACAUUACCCAAGAGAAAGGUCACAGACUCCGCCCAUCUAGCGUCUGCCCUCACUCAUUUUUUUUUCCUCUUGAAGGAAAGUGCUGACACCAUUUCCCAAGCCUUAAUUAUACAUAAAAGCUCUCUCUUUAGUCAGAGAAAAGCUGGAUGUAAACUCAAACCCAUAUUGACAUUAUUGACCCACCACUGCCCCACACGAGCCUUGCAUCUGCCUGCCAGUAUGACAGAAACUGGUGGACAAAGGACACAAAUGUCCCAUGUCCUUGACAGACGUACAGCUUUCAUUUCCACAUCGGGAGAAUUCUGUCCUAGCAGAUCUGCGGGGAGGAAGAGAAACAGGCUCCUGAUAAGAGCUUGGCGUGCAACUCCCCGGCAUCUUUCAAGUGACAAGCAAGAGCUUCUGUGGCUCACCACUCUCUGCCUAGACAAAUUCUAAAUAUGGAUCUGCACAUAUGUACAGAUUAGACUGAGCACACAGGAGCAAAACAAGCUGGCCAUCCGUCCCUCCUGUCCCCUCCCUCCGUAGGAAUCUGGCUGGGGAUGGAGGUUUGAGUUCCGUACGGACAUUCUUAGAACCCAGCUGAGCAGAGCACAGGAAAUCAACAUGCCUGCAUCGGAACUGUGUUCUGCUCCAUUACCCCACUUGUCAACCAAGGGUUAUGUUCUUGUUGCCCCAGGUCCUAUAUUCAAAAGGGGGCCCACAUAUUCCACCAUAGCAUCCCCAGUGCAUUAGCACUUAAUGGCCAUGAAUCAUGGAGCAACACUCUGUGUGUUUAACCAAGGUUAUGGGGGUGGGGGUGUUGUUGUUUGUUUGUUUGUUUGUUUGUUCAGCACAGUGCUAUUUUGGUCUUGAGCAUACUUUUGGCCUUUGUGGUUUUAUGGAAAUUCAGUGUCCUUCAAGGGAGGGGAAAGAGUGAUGUGCACCCAGAAGAAAUCUGGUUUCUCAGCUCAGGCCCUUGGCUGCUUUGGAGAAACUGGGAGACAAUAUUCUGAGCUGCUCAGCAGCUGUUUCUGGCUUCUCUAUGGUUUACCUGUCCUUCAGUUUCUGGUGACAUUGCCAUCUUAGUCCCAUUUAGAGGUCUGCUAUCCUCUGUGGGCUUCAAUCUCAAAAUAUUCUGCGAUGGAGUGCCUCCAACACUGCCCAGGAAACCCAGCUGAAAA